rnacentral:rRNA from 1 species
UAUUAAAGUUGUUGCAGUUAAAAAGCUCGUAGUUGAAUUUCGGGAUUGGCGCAUCGGUCGUGCCUCACGGGGUAUGAACUGGUGCAGUCAAUUUCUCACCUUCUGGAGAACCGCGAUGUCCUUAAUUGGAUGCCGUGGGGAACCAGGACCUUUACUUUGAAAAAAUUAGAGUGUUUAAAGCAGGCAUUUUUGCUUGAAUACAUUAGCAUGGAAUAAUAAAAUAGGACGGCAUGGUUCUAUUUUGUUGGUUUCUAGGACCACCGUAAUGAUUAAUAGGGAUAGUUGGGGGCAUUAGUAUUCAAUUGUCAGAGGUGAAAUUCUUGGAUUUAUUGAAGACUAACUACUGCGAAAGCAUUUGCCAAGGAUGUUUUCAUUAAUCAAGAACGAAAGUUAGGGGAUCGAAGACGAUCAGAUACCGUCGUAGUCUUAACCAUAAACUAUGCCGACUAGGAAUCAGACGAUGUUAAUUUUUUAAUGACUCGUUUAGCAC